CCUACGGGGGGCUGCAGUGGGGAAUAUUGGACAAUGGGGGGAACCCUGAUCCAGCCAUGCCGCGUGUGUGAGGAAGGCCCUCGGGUUGUAAAGCACUUUCAGUGAGGAAGAACGCCUGGUGGUUAAUACCCAUCAGGAAAGACAUCACUCACAGAAGAAGCACCGGCUAACUCCGUGCCAGCAGCCGCGGUAAUACGGAGGGUGUGAGCGUUAAUCGGAAUUACUGGGCGUAAAGCGCGCGUAGGUGGCUUGAUAAGCCGGUUGUGAAAGCCCCGGGCUCAACCUGGGAACGGCAUCCGGAACUGUCAAGCUAGAGUGCAGGAGAGGAAGGUAGAAUUCCCGGUGUAGCGGUGAAAUGCGUAGAGAUCGGGAGGAAUACCAGUGGCGAAGGCGGCCUUCUGGACUGACACUGACACUGAGGUGCGAAAGCGUGGGUAGCAAACAGGAUUAGAUACCCUUGUAGUC
rnacentral:rRNA from 1 species